CCUUUGCUAUAAGCUUUUUAAUGAAAUUAGUCUAAAGAAAGAAGCGAUAAUCAUUAAUGAUGGUAAGCAUUGCAGAGAACCUUGUGGUGAUUUGAGAAAAUGAUUAUUAUUCAUUCAAGGAUUGGCUACUAUUAGAUUGUGAUUUGUGAGAAUUUUUGGGUUAGAAAUACAUUUAAUAGGUCAAGUCUUCUUUUUAUUUAAUUUCGGGGAGUGUAAAAUUUACCAAUAGACCCCUUGCUUGAGAGAAGUCACAUAAUUAAUAUGCAGUUGCUAGUUAAAUCAUGCACUCAGUCCACAGUUGAUGGUAUAGAUUAGUAGUUUGAGGCUGGUGAGCUGUAAAGAAG
rnacentral:misc_RNA from 1 species